rnacentral:rRNA from 1 species
AUUGAACGCUGGCGGCAGGCCUAACACAUGCAAGUCGAACGGUAGCACAGAGAGCUUGCUCUCGGGUGACGAGUGGCGGACGGGUGAGUAAUGUCUGGGAAACUGCCUGAUGGAGGGGGAUAACUACUGGAAACGGUAGCUAAUACCGCAUAACGUCGCAAGACCAAAGAGGGGGACCUUCGGGCCUCUUGGCAUCAGAUGUGCCCAGAUGGGAUUAGCUAGUAGGUGGGGUAACGGCUCACCUAGGCGACGAUCCCUAGCUGGUCUGAGAGGAUGACCAUCCACCCUGGAACUGAGACACGGUCCAGACUCCUACCGGAGGCAGCAGUGGGGAAUAUUGCACAAUGGGCGCAAGCCUGAUGCAGCCAUGCCGCGUGUAUGAAGAAGGCCUUCGGGUUGUAAAGUACUUUCAGCGGGGAGGAAGGGAGUAAGGUUAAUAACCUUAUUCAUUGACGUUACCCGCAGAAGAAGCACCGGCUAACUCCGUGCCAGCCGCCGCGGUAAGAC